AACGAACGCUGGCGGCAUGCCUAACACAUGCAAGUCGAACGAGACCUUCGGGUCUGGUGGCGCACGGGUGCGUAACGCGUGGGAAUCUACCCUUGGGUUCGGAAUAACAGUUAGAAAUGACUGCUAAUACCGGAUGAUGACGUAAGUCCAAAGAUUUAUCGCCCAAGGAUGAGCCCGCGUAAGAUUAGCUUGUUGGUGGGGUAAUGGCCUACCAAGGCGACGAUCUUUAGCUGGUCUGAGAGGAUGAUCAGCCACACUGGGACGGAGACACGGCCCAGACUCCUACGGGAGGCAGCAGUGGGGAAUAUUGGACAAUGGGCGAAAGCCUGAUCCAGCAAUGCCGCGUGAGUGAUGAAGGCCUUAGGGUUGUAAAGCUCUUUUACCAGGGAUGAUAAUGACAGUACCUGGAGAAUAAGCUCCGGCUAACUCCGUGCCAGCCGCCGCCGUAA
rnacentral:rRNA from 1 species